rnacentral:ribozyme from 1 species
AAAAGACGGAGACAAGGAGGAGAGAAAGAAAUAAGGGGAAGAAGAGAAAAGGAAAAGAGAAGAAGCAAGUAGACACAUGCAUCUUCUGCACUACAUUUCCCCUCUUAUUCCUGUUUGACUUCUCUAA